rnacentral:rRNA from 1 species
UACGUAGGGGGCGAGCGUUGUCCGGAUUUAUUGGGCGUAAAGCGCGUGUAGGCGGUCCGGUAAGUCCGCUGUGAAAGUCGGGGGCUCAACCCUCGAAUGCCGGUGGAUACUGUCGGGCUAGAGUGCGGAAGAGGCGAGUGGAAUUCCUGGUGUAGCGGUGAAAUGCGUAGAUAUCGGAAGGAACAUCAGUGGCGAAAGCGACUUCCUGGUCCAGCAUCGACGUUCAGGCACGAAAGCGUGGGGAGCAAACAGG